rnacentral:snRNA from 1 species
AUCGCUUCUCGGCUCUCUGAGCUAAGAUCAUGUGUAGUAUCUGUUCUUUGCAGUGUAAUUUCUUCAACGGUCUCUAAACGGAGACCAAUGGAAUUGCCUGUAUUUUUCACCUCCGGACGGGUGCUGCGAGCUUGUUUAACCCCGUCCACGUCAGUCAGUCAGUCAGUAACAACGUAG